rnacentral:rRNA from 1 species
AGAGUUUGAUCCUGGCUCAGAACGAACGCUGGCGGCAGGCCUUAAUACAUGCAAGUCGAGCGCGCCCUUCGGGGUGAGCGGCGGACGGGUUAGUAACGCGUGGGAACGUGCCCUUUCUCUAAGGAAUAGCCACUGGAAACGGUGAGUAAUACUUUAUACGCCCCCCAAUCAAAUUCCAUUUGGUUGACGGAAAUUCUGUUGAAUGCCGGAUGGCAUUUGAUGGGGGGGAAAGAUUUAUCGGAGAAGGAUCGGCCCGCGUUAGAUUAGAUAGUUGGUGGGGUAAUGGCCUACCAAGUCUACGAUCUAUAGCUGGUUUUAGAGGAUGAUCAGCAACACUGGGACUGAGACACGGCCCAGACUCCUACGGGAGGCAGCAGUAGGGAAUCUUGGACAAUGGGCGCAAGCCUGAUCCAGCCAUGCCGCGUGAGUGAAGAAGGCCUUAGGGUCGUAAAGCUCUUUCGCCUGUGAUGAUAAUGACAGUAGCAGGUAAAGAAACCCCGGCUAACUCCGUGCCAGCAGCCGCGGUAAUACGGAGGGGGUUAGCGUUGUUCGGAAUUACUGGGCGUAAAGCGCGCGUAGGCGGAUUGGAAAGUUAGAGGUGAAAUCCCGGGGCUCAACCCCGGAACGGCCUUUAAAACUCCCAGUCUAGAGUUCGAGAGAGGUGAGUGGAAUUCCAAGUGUAGAGGUGAAAUUCGUAGAUAUUUGGAGGAACACCAGUGGCGAAGGCGGCUCACUGGCUCGAUACUGACGCUGAGGUGCGAAAGUGUGGGGAGCAAACAGGAUUAGAUACCCUGGUAGUCCACACCGUAAACGAUGAAUGCCAGUCGUCGGAUAGUAUACUAUUCGGUGACACACCUAACGGAUUAAGCAUUCCGCCUGGGGAGUACGGUCGCAAGAUUAAAACUUAAAGGAAUUGACGG